UGAUCCCAGGAGAAAACAUUCUACUCCUCAACAUGGGUCUUGCCUGAUUCAUUUACCAACUAUGACAAGCUCGUGGCACAGAGGAAAAUGGACAUAAGGUAGCGGUAACAGGCUGGCGACUGUGGCUUUUACACAUUGCUUCACACAACCCUGUCCAGGAGUUUUACACACUCACUAAACAAACAGAAGACACCAUCCAAUUCACUGGAGCCCCGUUGGAUAAAUACGGAAAGAAUGUGGGAGCUAUGUCAUGAACCACAAUGGUUUUGUGUUCUGUGUAAUUUGAAGACGAGAUUCCUUUGCUGUGUGUCACCUCCCAUAUUACCACUGUCGCCCAACAUUUCAUAACCAUCAACUCUUUGCCAGUGCCCACAUGCAAAGAUGGGUUUGUAUUAAAAAAUAAAUGAGAACAGCACAUUCUGAUGUGGUGUAGUAUAUCAGCAUUUUCCAUGAAACCUCGUCUCCGGCCUUCCCCUUUUAGGAAACAAAGGACCCGUGACAGAGCCUACUUAUCCCGUUACAGCUCCUGGUGAGAAGGGCGAAGCCAUGUCAGAAAUAAUAGAAAAGGCUUUUUCCUUUGAAAUAUCUAAACGUUCAAAGAUGGGAACAGCCGCAGGGGGGAGAAUACUGUGCUAUGCAAGUUGAUCUGAUUUUGUGGACCAUCCAUUUCCAAUUGGGAAGCUCACUUACUUUCAACUUGAAGCAUCAGAAAACCAGACUUACAGCAGCUUCAGCCUAUAGGGGUUUAUUUUUCUCAUGUAACAAGAAGAACAGAAGUGGACAGAGGCCGAGUUCUCAAGGACUCAGUUUCUUUCUGUCCCACCAACCUUACCAUGUUGGAUUGUCAUCUUUGUGCUUGUUGCCUCAUGAUGGCAAGAUGGCUGCAGCACCUCUGGGACUCACGACUGAUUUUUAAGGUGCCUUUCAGGAUUGGAGACUACUCCCCCAGUUGCUGAUGGUGUGGUCAGCCCUCAGUUUUCAGUCCUCUUUGGGAAUUGCCUUGGAUGAAGAAAGUCACCUCACCCAAGAUCACUCCAACUCCUGGGACCCACAUCCAAUGAUUGGCCAAUAUGGGGACUCAAAGGCCUGGUCCCCCUUCCCCAACUUGAGACUACUCUGAAGGAUCACCCAGCUUCAGAGCUUCCCAUGGUUGAGACUUUUAGACUUCACUGUGGUCCAACCAAUCUCUUCCUAUACACGGUCCUGACUCCUUCACUUCCCUCCCAGCACUUCUUCUGUGUUAAUAUCAAACUUCUGUGCUAAUAACAAACUUCUUCCGUGCUAAUAUCUCUCAGUGUCUCCUUCCCUGGGAACUCAACCCUAGAUUGUUUAUACCAGCAGUGAUCCAAGAAAGAGAUGCCAACAUGAGAUUUUGGAAUUGGAUCACCUACCAUCCAGCUGGCAGUGCAGACCCCAUCAGUGGCAGUAGAAGAAGUACAUAUAGUCCGUAGCACAAGAUAGCAGUGAAAUUGUUAAAACUUUUGCC
rnacentral:lncRNA from 10 species